rnacentral:rRNA from 1 species
AACGAACGCUGGCGGCAUGCCUAACACAUGCAAGUCGAACGAGACCUUCGGGUCUAGUGGCGCACGGGUGCGUAACGCGUGGGAACCUGCCCUUAGGUUCGGAAUAACUCCCCGAAAGGGGUGCUCAUACCGGAUAAUGUCUUCGGACCAAAGAUUUAUCGCCUUUGGAUGGGCCCGCGUUGGAUUAGCUAGUUGGUAGGGUAAAAGCCUACCAAGGCGACGAUCCAUAGCUGGUCUGAGAGGAUGAUCAGCCACACUGGGACUGAGACACGGCCCAGACUCCUACGGGAGGCAGCAGUGGGGAAUAUCGGACAAUGGGCGAAAGCCUGAUCCAGCAAUGCCGCGUGAGUGAUGAAGGCCUUAGGGUUGUAAAGCUCUUUUACCCGGGAUGAUAAUGACAGUACCGGGAGAAUAAGCGCCGGCUAACUCCGUG